rnacentral:rRNA from 1 species
UACGUAGGGUGCAAGCGUUGUCCGGAUUUAUUGGGUUUAAAGGGUGCGUAGGCGGUCUGUUAAGUCAGUGUUUAAAUUUUGCAGCUUAACUGUAGGUAUGGCAUUGAUACUGAUGGGCUUGAAUAUUAAGGAGGUAGCUGGAAUUUAUGGUGUAGCGGUGAAAUGCAUAGAUAUCUGGAGGAAUACCGGUGGCGAAGGCGGCAUCCUGGACCGACAUUGACGCUGAACGGCGAAAGCUAGGGGAGCAAACGGG